rnacentral:sRNA from 1 species
UCACAUCCUUCAUUCUUUCAACCCUAGU